GGGGCUGUGCCCGAAUCCAAGGACCACUUUGAUAGAGUGACUUAUGUGGGUUAAAGUCCCCCCAGCCCUU
rnacentral:tRNA from 2 species